AGAGUUUGAUCCUGGCUCAGAUUGAACGCUGGCGGCAGGCCUAACACAUGCAAGUCGAACGGUAGCACAGAGGAGCUUGCUCCUUGGGUGACGAGUGGCGGACGGGUGAGUAAUGUCUGGGAAACUGCCCGAUGGAGGGGGAUAACUACUGGAAACGGUAGCUAAUACCGCAUAACGUCGCAAGACCAAAGAGGGGGACCUUCGGGCCUCUUGCCAUCGGAUGUGCCCAGAUGGGAUUAGCUAGUAGGUGGGGUAACGGCUCACCUAGGCGACGAUCCCUAGCUGGUCUGAGAGGAUGACCAGCCACACUGGAACUGAGACACGGUCCAGACUCCUACGGGAGGCAGCAGUGGGGAAUAUUGCACAAUGGGCGCAAGCCUGAUGCAGCCAUGCCGCGUGUAUGAAGAAGGCCUUCGGGUUGUAAAGUACUUUCAGCGAGGAGGAAGGCGUUGUGGUUAAUAACCGCAACGAUUGACGUUACUCGCAGAAGAAGCACCGGCUAACUCCGUGCCAGCCGCCGCGGUAAAAGGG
rnacentral:rRNA from 1 species